CUGUGCCAUCAGAAAACUUCUCCCCAAGCAGCAACAUAAAACAGAAUUUUAUAACUUGGUGGAAGAAGCAAUUACAAUCUGAAUUGUAAAAAUACAGAUUUUUGACAAGAAGACCAGACUUCCUCUUUUUGAGUGCUCCGGUGUUAAACGUGAGGGAUGAUAUAGGAACAAAUGAAAGAUUCCCUUUCUUCCCUGACACCAUGGCACAUGUAAAGCAAUUUACUCCACUCAACCACAUUCUCUAAUGGCACAGAACAUGGAUGUAUACAACAGCCCAAAAUAUCAGACAGAGUCCUUUCCACUUAUGUAUUGUAAGAAGACUGAAGAUGGCUUAAACUAGGCUAUAGCACAAUGAAACCCACAGAUGCCACGUCCAUGCAAGCAACUGUGGUGGCGACCAGGCAAAGAUAUGUCUAGCCAGUAAAGAUUUAUCCUCCUGAGUUUCAUUUAAAAUUGGUAGAUGUUGGUCAUGCAGCUCCCAGUGGAUUAUUUCAGUCUCUGUUGGAAAUACAAUUGGAGAGAAGUAAAGCAUC